UACGGAGGGGGCUAGCGUUGUUCGGAAUUACUGGGCGUAAAGCGCACGUAGGCGGCUUUGUAAGUUAGAGGUGAAAGCCCGGGGCUCAACCCCGGAAUUGCCUUUAAGACUGCAUCGCUUGAACGUCGGAGAGGUGAGUGGAAUUCCGAGUGUAGAGGUGAAAUUCGUAGAUAUUCGGAAGAACACCAGUGGCGAAGGCGGCUCACUGGACGACUGUUGACGCUGAGGUACGAAAGCGUGGGGAGCAAACAGG
rnacentral:rRNA from 1 species